rnacentral:rRNA from 1 species
UGGGGAAUAUUGCACAAUGGGGAAGACCCUGAUGCAGCGACGCCGCGUGAGUGAAGAAGUAUUUCGGUAUGUAAAGCUCUAUCAGCAGGGAAGAAAAUGACGGUACCUGACUAAGAAGCCCCGGCUAACUACGUGCCAGCAGCCGCGGUAAUACGUAGGGGCAAGCGUUAUCCGGAUUUACUGGGUGUAAAGGGAGCGUAGACGGCAUGGCAAGUCUGAAGUGAAAGCCCGGGGCUCAACCCGGGACUGUUUGGAAAUCUGUCAGGCUAGAGUGCUGGAGAGGUAAGUGGAAUUCCUAGUGUAGCGGUGAAAUGCGUAGAUAUUAGGAGGAACACCAGUGGCGAAGGCGGCUUACUGGACAGUGACUGACGUUGAGGCUCGAAAGCGUGGGGAGCAAACAGGAUUAGAUACCC